rnacentral:lncRNA from 1 species
AGCCGUCGCUUACCUAGGAUGCCGCGUGGAAGCCGAAGCCGCACCUCCCGCAUGGCCCCUCCGGCCAGCCGGGCCCCUCAGAUGAGAGCUGCACCCAGGCCAGCACCAGUCGCUCAGCCACCAGCAGCGGCACCCCCAUCUGCAGUUGGCUCUUCUGCUGCUGCGCCCCGGCAGCCAGGUCUGAUGGCCCAGAUGGCAACCACUGCAGCUGGCGUGGCUGUGGGCUCUGCUGUGGGGCACACAUUGGGUCACGCCAUUACUGGGGGCUUCAGUGGAGGAAGUAAUGCUGAGCCUGCGAGGCCUGACAUCACUUACCAGGAGCCUCAGGGAACCCAGCCAGCACAGCAGCAGCAGCCUUGCCUCUAUGAGAUCAAACAGUUUCUGGAGUGUGCCCAGAACCAGGGUGACAUCAAGCUCUGUGAGGGUUUCAAUGAGGUGCUGAAACAGUGCCGACUUGCAAACGGUAGGUAAUUUGUCCAAUUUACAUCUGCUUAAUUCACAGUGGAAUUCCUGGAUCCUGUAGAACUUAGGGUAAUCUGUGUUUAAUAAAUUAGAGAAGACUUUGUUGAAAUUUCUCUAGAAUUAACUCCUAACAACUGGGCCGGAGGUUUCUAGUCAUUUUUAUGAGUAAUUUUCUGAAUUUUCUUCCUUUAGAAGGUAUAGGCCAGGCACAGUGGCUCACGCUUGUAAUCCC